GCUUGAGAACAACGUAUUGGAGUCUGUUUUAAGUCAAUAAUUCCUUAUUAUUGAUGAAAAAGUGCUAGUUCUAUUGGUAGAUUAUUUCACUUAUAACAUGGGAAAAUGUCUUAUUAGCUAGUUACAUACAUGUUUGUGAGUUUUGUCUUAUUGUAGGUGUCCUAAGAUGUUUGCAGUAGAAAUUAGACCAAUAAUACUGGGUAAUAUUUUGUGUUUUUGCAGUGUAG